rnacentral:lncRNA from 1 species
GGAGUAACCGCUUUGAAAUCAGAAGCAAAACUGGGAACCGCAGAGAGUUUCCUCAGGAGGUCUUACUUUGAGGAAGCUAUCUACUGCUACAAAAACUCAGAUGUUGUGGAUAAAAAAGUCUACAGGAGGGGACAUUUAUGAGAAGUGUCUCAGACAGUAUCAGUGUUGCUACAGAGAAGGUAUGUAUGUUCUGAUUACUGAACUCUUAAGUAAAGGAGAGGAAGCUUCCGGGCAUGGAGGACCCACUGUAAACACUAUCACGAGGGGGAUCCUGGGAUCUCAUCACUGUGGAUGCCCCCUGCAGCUUUAUGUAACUUAAAAGCUAAGUCCUGGUCUGACUAACGCCCACACCUUUUGGCCAUUCCCAGUAUCUGAUGUUCCCAGCCCAGAAAUGCCAAGAGACUCUUAUUUCCAGAGGACCCUUAUUUCCUAUGUCUUACCUUAUUUCCUGUGCCAGGCAUUGCCCACUGCUUUGACUCUUGCUGCUCAGCCAGCCUGGUAUGCUGACCCCAAGAGUGUUGAGGUUCCUGGGUGCCAGGCCAUUUCUCCUCCUUGCACCUCAAGUCUAAACUGUUCUAUGAUGAGUACAUCUCUUUUUGUCUUGGCUCAGUCUUCUCUCUCCAGAAUUCUGGCUGAAUGUGUGGGUUGGAUCAGGGUCACGAAGCCUGGCCUCAGCUUCCCCUGAUGAGUAAGACCUCCUCUGACCUUCCUGGCUCUCUUCCUUUGGGGAAAGUUCCU